GAGGAAUAUUGCGCAAUGGGGGCAACCCUGACGCAGCAACGCCGCGUGAGUGAGGAAGGUUUUCGGAUUGUAAAGCUCUGUCGAGCGGAAAGAAAUGCACGAUGGCUAAUAUCCAUCAUGCUUGACGGUACCGCUAGAGGAAGCACCGGCUAACUCCGUGCCAGCAGCCGCGGUAAUACGGGGGGUGCAAGCGUUGUUCGGAAUCAUUGGGCGUAAAGAGCGUGUAGGCGGCUGGACAAGUCAGAUGUGAAAUCCCUGGGCUUAACCCAGGAAGUGCAUUUGAAACUGUCUAGCUGGAGUAAGGGAGAGGAAAGUGGAAUUCCUGGUGUAGAGGUGAAAUUCGUAGAUAUCAGGAGGAACACCGGUGGCGAAGGCGACUUUCUGGCCCUAUACUGACGCUGAGACGCGAAAGCGUGGGUAGCAAAC
rnacentral:rRNA from 1 species